rnacentral:sRNA from 12 species
ACUCUGCCGGUGGUACGCCCCGGCGGGUCGGCCUUACCUUUAUUGGUGGUCAGCCGGUUUCAUCCUGCUUCGGCAAACACUCUACGCGGUUCGGGCAAGCGCAGAUUACUGAAAAUGGAAAAGCGUACCCGAC